rnacentral:tRNA from 1 species
GCCUGGCUGGCUCAGUUGGUUGAGCAUUUGACUUCAGCUCAGGUCAUGAUCUCGUGUUCCAUGAGUUCAGUUCAAGCCCCAUGUCAGGCU